AGAAGCAGCUGAGUGUCUCCUGAUACCCGGAUGUGAGGCGAUCCGCUGGCUCUAGUCUGACCCUCCGCCAGGCAAAAGGAAGGAAUCCUGAGAGUCCCCAUAUCACAUUUUGAGCACUACUGCUUUAAG
rnacentral:sRNA from 1 species